rnacentral:lncRNA from 1 species
GUGCUCGGUGCUGGGGUGUUUGUGUUUCCGACGCUUUACUCCAAGAAGGCUCAAUGGUUCCGCCCUACGAAACCUGGGGAAAAAUGGAGAAGCCAGAUUGGGUUCGAGGCAGUUACGGUAUUUCCUGCUUAGAGCCCAGUGCCUUAUAUAAGAAUACCGCUGAUAUGUACCUGGGAAGGAGUGUGUAGGGGGCGGAACCGAGACUCCAGAGUGUGAGGAAUGGAACUGACCUCUGGAAAUGACACCUUAUGUAUUAAGGCCACCUUAGGUGCCAGCCCCUCCCACUCAGGCAUCUACCCUAUCCUCCCAGUCCAGCUCCCCCUCCCACCCCCAACUCCCAUCUCAUGGUUCCAUCCUCAGUUUGAGGAGGAUAGAGGUGCUUAGUGGACCCAGAAAGCUCUCCCUCAUUUUUUAGGCCCAGGCUCAGGUUUGAACUCCCAAACUUAAGGUUUCUCAGGAAGGGUUUCUCCACUUGUCUGCUAGGAGUAGCAGCUCCAAAGAAGCAGUUUUAACUCUGUAUCGGGUUGUUGUAAAAAUUGUAUGCUGUAUAUGCACCCCAUUGCACCUGAAGGAGGUCUCUUCUAUCCUUCCACAGUGGGCUCUGGGAAUCAAACUCGGCUUUCCUGGGAAGCGCUCUUACUGGCUAAACCAUCCCAUUGACCCAUUUCAAAUGCUUUUUGGUGAUGGAUGAGUUACUAUGAUUCAAGGCCAUAGUUCCUGGGGAAUGGGGGGUGGGGGGCACCUGGUGGCUUUCCUACUGCAGUCCUCAUAGCUAGACAUUUGUGUCUCUUCAUCUUGUCCAAGUAGGUCAUAACCUACAAGGCACUAUCAUCAUAUGUAUAUAUCCUAUGUUCCUUACAAGUGCGAAUGUUUCUACACACACACACA